rnacentral:lncRNA from 1 species
UCUUUAACUUUUCUAAUCUUUCUUGAAUAUCAAUAUCCUAUCAUCAUCACUCUUAAUACAUCUAGCUUCACCAGUAUCUUUAGUUUUCAUUGCUUCAACUCUAGCUAUUUUGUACAUUCCAUUCUCAUCUUUGAAUUUGGCCUGUCCUAUAAAUUAUCAUAGAUACAUAUGUAACCAUACUAAACUUUUUGCAUUCUUUUCUUAGCUUCCUUAUAAAAUAUAAAAUCUUUGUUUCUCCCUCAUUCCUGAAAUUACUUUUUAUAAAAUAUAAAAUCUUUGUUUUUCCCUCAUUCCAAAAUAUUUUUUUAAGAAUAUAUAGUUCUUAUUUUCCCUUUUUUGUUGCUCUAUUUUCCAGUUUUGUCCCUUGUAACUGAAGAUACUUGUUUUCUCAUUAGGUUUAGACACAAUAGUGCCUUAUAAUAAUGAGUGAAAAUUUAAAAGUGAUUUGAUUUUUGAUAUUAUUUUUCAUGUAAAUUGGCAUAAAUUAUUAAGUGACAUGGCCACAUAAUUAAAUUAACUAGAGAAAAGAGAUAGAGGUGUGACCAUUAGGACAAGCUCCACUACACAUUUUUAAUUUAAAUUAAAAAUAUAAAAAUAUCUUUUGUAUUUGUUCUCUUGUUGUUUAAGAAUCAUUGUAUAAAUUAGUAGAUGAUAAUCUGUGUUAAUGUGGCUUGAAUUUUAGAUAUUUUUUAUGGGCUCGAAUUAUGACCCGAUCUGAAAAGCCCGCAUUGCGACCUGAAUGGAAUUUUUUGGAAGAUUUGUGGUGGUAGCGGAGGGCAUGGGCCGAUAGGGGGUGCAGAGGGCAACGCCUCCCGCGUUAUGGAUCAGUAUAAAUAUUAUACUUUCUGUCAAUCUCGGCAGUUUUGUGAGAGAGAUUUGGGCAAUCAAAUUACGGCUAGGAUUUGGAGAGUUCUGAGUGAUUGUAUUUCUCUUUUCAUCAUAGUAGAAUUUUUCUCUCGUGUCUUGUCUGUGGACGUAGGCUUUUCAGUCGAACCACGUAAAUCAUGUGUUUAUUUUUUCUUCUCUUCUCUAUUCUAUGUGAUUGUAUGAAUCUGUGUGUAUCCUAUUUUUGUGCUUGCUGUAACAUAUUGAUAUCAGAGUAUUGUAUGCGUGCAGUUUAGGGUUCAU